GGCGGCUGCCGCUUCCCCGCGGCGAGCGGGGAGAUCCGGCUCGGCUGGCCCUUGGACCUCCUCGGGGGUCCGGGGGUCCCGGCCUUUCUCAAGAAACUCCCACCCCGCCCUAAUGCUGUUCGUAGGCCACUAGACCAUAAAGAACCACUUCUAGACCUAAGAAAGAAGACCCUACUACACCUGGAGAUUCUGGAGAUUCAGCUGAAUUCAAUGACUGGAUAGGAGCCUACUUGCAUCUAAAGAAUUCUCUGGAAAAAAGUUAAAAGACUGGGUCUAUGUAUGGUAUUAAUUCUUUCAGUCUGUUAUUCAAACAAUAUUUAAUGAUCAUUUAAAAUAAACCAGGAAUGCUCUA